UCUGAGUUAGCCAACCAGGGGAAAGGGUUGUAUUACCAAGCUGAUUUGGAGCAGAGAAUUGUGCUUUUGAUUUGUUUCUCGCUCUUGGUACAUGAAAAAACCAUAAGGAAGUUGCUUAACCUUUAUUUCCAGGCACGCAGUGCUCAAAAAGCAGGUGUAACACUUUCCAGCUGGGAAAAUGUGUGAUAACUCACAGAGCUCUUCCCCCAGGAAUCCCAAGGUGUCAAAGAUAAUCAUCUCUAGGUAAAUAAUGCAAGAGGCUGCUCAGGGCUGGUCUGGAGCUGAGGAGCUCCGUGUGCAGCCUGUGGUUUCAUGGAUGAGCCAUCUCUGCCCCAGCUGUGUCACUCACCAUCAGGCUUCCAGAAGUGCCAGCAGCUCCCAUGGGGGUGGAGGGGCUCAUUGAGAGGAAAAUUCAGUUUUUCCAUUGUGGGGUGAGAUUGCAGCAGCAGAGAGAGAGGUGUGAGCACAGCUAGUGCCUCUCAUGUCCUCUCCCCUCUGCCUACACACUUGUGCCCGUCCCAGUGUCUCGUGGCUCCUCACCUGUGGGAUCUUGUGGAUCUCGUUGGAUGGGGCUUGGAGCAACCUGGACUAGUGAAGGUGGGGGGACUGCAAGAGCUUUAAGGGCCUUUCCAACCCAAACCAUGCUGUGGUUCUGCUGGCACCCACCUCUGUCAGGUCAAGACAUCUGAGAUUGCAGAGUGAUAUAGAGAUUUCCAACCUCUGUCACUGUGUGCAGGUUUUGGAACACACUGUUUGAAUUCAAGUAAAUACAAAGUAAUAGGUGUAUAAUGAACUGUUUUAGCUAAAUUGCAAACACAGAUCUGGAUGUCACAGGCUCUAUUUCUCUGAUUGCUUAAUAUGAAGGCACAAGUGCCAGCGUGGAGAGCAAGUGACUUGGAUUAAGAUAAUGCUGCGAUGUCAGAUGAUUACCCCUUAGCCCAAAUUUCCCUGGGAUGAAAAGAAAAACCUUCCCAGCACAGUGUACAACACGAUUCAAUCAUUCCCAUCAUAGGAUGGUUCUUACACCUUCCUCUGCCCUACUUGUUUUGCUUUUCUGGGAGGAGGAAGUAAAAUUUUCAUUAUUUCACCUUCUUGGAUCUUAAGGGAAGGAAAUGGGACAGUAAAUCAUGGCAGACAAGUAGCUGAACUUAAAAAGUUUAUUUUAUAUUUGAGUGGGAACUUCUCAGUUGUUUUUCCCAUGGAGUCCUUCCUUUUCAUGUAACUGAUUCUAAUUUCUGCUGUUUCCAUCAGGCACUAGUGCAGAACACAAAGGAGGACAAGCAGCAUGAGCAGGAGCCCUGACUACUUCCAUGAAACAGGAUUUUGAAGAGCAGCAGAGCCCUCUAUCUCAAGGCUGGAGGAAAAGCAGCGGCCAGCGAUGGGAAAAAUAAACGGGACAAGGAACAAUUUCAAACCAGCCCUCGUUGCACUUUAUACUGAGGAAUAUUUCAAAGAAACAAGAAUUACGGAGGCUGGAAGUGCUCUAAGAUAAAACAUCCAAGCACAUGGAACUUCAGCCUGAUUAUCUGCCUGUACAGAGAGAACCAGACAAGGGAUUUGAUGCUCCUCACCUCAAACAGCUCAAGACACGGAUUUCACACAGAGUCAUGGGGCAAAGUUACAGUUUAUUAGCCAAGGCUUAUCUCCCUGUUAAUCCCCUCUGGCCAUGGGAACAAGCACAGCAGGUCCCGGGGAGCUCCGGAGCCACGUGGGCACUGCUCCUGGUCACCGGGCCCUGCUCGUGGGCACCGGGCACUGCUCCUGCUCAGCGGUCGCACUCGUAGUCAGCCGGGUUCUUCCUCUUGAGCCGCUCGAACUCCUGGUUCCCCCAGGAAUAAAUCAGGUAACCGAGGGCCAGGG